rnacentral:lncRNA from 1 species
GCUGUGUAGACCCUUAUGAGCUUGUCAUGUGGUUAAAAUCAAGAUUCACUUGCACGUUCACUCACACAUGCUGCUUCCACUCCGAAAGUACGAAUCCACAUAUAUCCACUCAUUUCCAUCUCCAGAACCACCCAAAAAUAUUCUACUCCUAUUCUAGGAGAGAAUAGCCAAAAACAUUCUCCUAUUUCUGUUUUUCCCUGUAAAAUAAAUGCUCAAGUUAUCUUGGUUACUACCACUUGCUAUAUUAUUUCAGGAGAUGAGUGCUCUAAAAAAAGUAUACGAGGAAAUAAAAAGGGGCAAGUGCCCGGAACCUCGAAAGAAAAAGUGAGACGAGAGGUAAAAAUGGACAAGUGUCCGACAGUAGAAUUAGGGGUACAAGAUACCCACCUGAGAAAAAGAAAAUGUAGAGCAUCUCAUUCUCCUCAAAAAGUUUCAAAGAGCAAGAAAGGUAUGUAUCCCCUCAAAAGAGCAACAAGUAGAAUUAGACUUUCACCAUUGUUAUCACCAUCAUCACCAUACACCAUUCAUUCGCCACACAUGCACAUCUUGAUUUUACUUAUUGACAUGUUUCUCUGGAUCCAUAGUUUGACUAUGCAAUAAAUGUCUUGUAAGUAUGUAUACUUUAUCUCCCACCUAUGAGCUCCAGAUAUCAAAAGCCUUAUUAAAGUAGGAUGAGAGAGAAGGCAAUGUUACUAUGCCUUAUACCACAAAUACUACAUACUUUGAGAGAAGGCAUAUACCAUCACUGCCUUGGUAAGGAUCCAGAAAUACCACAAAAGAGAGAUCUGAGAGAGUCAUACAAGGAAUCUCCGAGUUUUAUUUAAAAAUCUGCAAAAACUCCAGAACUAUGGCUUAUUAAGAAUAAGAGACAUGACGCUUGACUAGACCGUUCUAACUUUUAACUGCUCAAGACAAAUGACAGUUACAAGUCCCAUGGUGAAAGGUAAAAUGAGUAAGUUUUAAGUCUUGAUGGUUUACUCUAACUCAGAGAUGAGACCUUAUUUGAAAGCAUGUGUACCGUCAACUUUUAAAGGCAUUCCAACAACUUCUGAUCCAUCACUGAGAUUAUCCUUGCUUAGGGACGAGCAAGAGGUAAGCUUGGGGGAGUUUGUUGACGGUCCUUAAGUAUCAAAUUUAAUCAACAAAUAAAUAGAGAAAAGGAUCCAAAUGCAACAGACACCCAGACUUAGGGUUUUAUCUGAUAGAAUCUCACGAGUUUUGGUGUUUGUCUAUUUCUGCAGGGGGAUAUCAGGAAUUAUGAAGAAAGGCCCACACGUCGGGUUUACAUAGAGAUAUUAAUGUGCCGCGCAAUUAUCCAACAUCUAGAAAAGUCCAGAAGCCACAGGAACGAACAGGAGACCGAACGGGCCCGGGGGCAGGGCGCCCGCCCUCCCCCCUUGGACGCUCGCCCUGGUCUGAGGACCAAUCACCUUCCACCUCGUGGAUCAUGCUCCACCGACCUAAAGGAUCAAGGAAAACCGUGCGAUUAAUGUCAGUUUGAUCCGACGCCCCACAUUAAUUUGGAAGGACUAUAUAAGCAGACCCCUUGGUCCCUAGAGGAGAGGAGCCCUAAACCCUAAUUCAUUUAUCCAUCUUAGGAGAAGAAGCCCCUGAUCAAGCCCUAGAGCCACCACAUCAAUGAUCUCUAGUUUAGCAUAGCUACAUAGGAUUUGAACUAGAUGGAUGUUGACGGUCCUUAAGUACCAAAUAUAAUCAUCAAAUAAAUAAAGAAAAGGAUCCAAAUGCAAUCAACACCUAGACUUAGGGUUUUAUCUGACAGGAUUCCACGAGUUUUGGUGUUUGUCUAUUUCUGCAGGGAGUUAUCAAGAAAUAAGGAAGAAAGGCCCACAUGUCGGGUUUACAUAGAGAUAUUAACGUGCCGCGCAAUUUUCUAUCAUCUAAAAGAGUCCAGAAACCACGGAAACGAACGGGACGCCGAACGGGCCCGGGGGCAGGGCGCCCGCCUAGGUUUUUCCACCAAUCACAGAAUGAAGUACACCAUUACAAAGAUCUCGUCGAGCUGAUCGAAAUGCAUAUAUUAUUUGCUAUAUUUGGAGUUCGGAAUCAAGAGAUAUUAAUAAAAGAAGGACUCCACAUAAAAGAGCUGCGGGAUUAAUUGGGCCCAAAUCAGAUUUUGAUCCAUGAAGGCCUAUCUGUAUUUUAAUGAGAUAUGGUGGAAAGUUUAGUACCACAUCGCCUGCUGAACCAAAAAUGCAUAGAGGAGGAGGACUAUAUAAGGAGACCCCCCUGGCCCCUGGAGAAGACAAGAAGUUAUCAUAGAGAUUGAGGGUGCCCUCGAAGGAAAACCUCUUCUCUAAAUAAUAUUUCUUUUUAGGCUUAGCAACCAAUGUAAGUAGAAAUAGAUCUUCUAGUUUCUACUAGAUUGAGAGAGAUAGAGUGGAGGUGUAGAUCGGAGGAAGGCCGGCCUGUCGGUGUCUACUCCGAGUUGUACCUACGGGAUCAAGUCUCCUAACCCGAGGCUUGCUUCUAAGAUUCUUCAGUAAUUCGACUUCUAAUUCUAGUAAGUUCUUGUUUUAUUGUUCUUUGGUUUAUGAGUUUACUUUAAUCCUCUUCCGGUUCAGUAUUAGAGUAAUCACUAGCUAGCGUAAACAUGGUGUUUAGGCUAGGGUACUCAUAGAUAUCCCCUGACUAGCUGGACCGUGGUAGUAGCGAGGAAUGUGACAUUUCCGAGUUACCUUUGUAUCCCAUAUCUUGUUAGCAGGACGGGUAGGUUUAUAGGUGCGGGUCGAACAUCCUUUGUGUUGUCUAGAUUCCGUGAGCCUCCCCAAUAGAACAGUAGAUCAUCCUUACCAAGGUUAGAACGAGACUACGGUUGCAGUCUUCUCUAUACAUCACUCACAUCGAGAAACAUUCUUUGUAGCCUAAAGGGGUAAUAGCAAUAGAUUUGGUUAGUCAGAUGCACCCUUUCUCCCAGUGGUAAAAAUAUAAAUACGAUAACUCUGGAUAACCUCCCGGGUGAAAUGCUCACCGAUAUCCGUGCGCUUGCGGAUCAUUUCCUUAUUGCGUGACCAAAUAUCAACAAGCAUUUCUUGCGCCGUUGCCGGGGAGAAAGACGGUUUGCUGAGAUAACUUUGAAUCUUGCUAUUAUCUUGUAUUAUACUUUUAUACUUUUAUUCUUUUAUCUUUUUACUUUUAUCUUUAUGGAUAACUUAAAUUCCAUACAUAUUAUUGAAUUCUUUGCACCUUCGGAGACCAGCCAUAGACCAUGGGAGUCAACAAGUCCUGCCCCUAAUUAUGAUCUGUGCCCGGAGUUGAUUGCAAUAGGUCAAAACCAACCCUUCUCUAUAGCCGAGGUCCUAUCUUUUAAUCAAGAAGAUAAUGCACUUUUAGCUACACCUAGGGAAUCUGUUAAUCUUUCUAUAAAUUCUGGUUUAGACCUAGCCCAACAAGACCAUGUUUUUCUUGAUAUUUUUACAUUGGUCUUAAUCAUAUACCCUUUGGUAGAGUCUUUCUUUCUUUAUCUAUUAGUAAAGGAAGGUAUGUCUUCAUUUGUGGAUAUCCUUCUUGCACUAGUCUUCAAAGAAAAAUCUUAGAGAUAGAGAAGGAAUCAUCUCCCAAACGAGGAAAGGAAGUUUCAUUAGCCGAUUUCCAAACAUUUCAAUCCCAUAAUUCGGCUAUCCAACCCAACCUUGAGCUUAAUAAUUUCUACUAUGCUCUUUCUCUUGAACCUCCCGAUAAUCCUAUGAAUCUCUCUAGACAUCCCAUCCAUAAGAAGAAGGAUCGAGAAGAGCAACAUCGAUGGCUAGAGGGCAUUAAAAAUCCAUGUGCUAUCACCAUUGAAUGGAUAGAUAAAACAAACUUGAGAGACAAUCCUAGAGGAAUUUUAAGCAUUCAUGAAGAAUCAUCCUUGGAGUUUGAGAAUGAGAGAAACAACAGUGAGCAUGGAAGUUAUUUGAUAAAUACCUCACCCAGUCCUUGCUCAUAUAAAACAUCUCUCCAAUCAAUUUGUCUCUCCAUCCUUACCACAUUUGAGAUCUCCAACCCCUUCUUCCUUUCUAUUUAUAAAAACUUUAAAAGGGCGGUUGUCGAUGCAUAUGUCUAUAAUAAAUAUUGCAGAUCUCGUUGAGUUGAUCUUGAUAUAGGUAGGUGUUGGAGGGGAAACCACUUCGCCGACAUAAAUUGAUGGUUUCCCAAGGACAAGCUUAGUGUUCUAAAACAAGCAUUUAUCAGAUCAUAACAUGAACUUCUAAUUAUUUGCAACAUUGCCUUGUGUAUUGAGCAUAUUGAGAUAAUUGUAAAAAUAUUCCUUCGGGUAUUCUUGCCACUAACCUUUCUAGGGUUAGAGCAAGAAGAUCGGAUGAAUGACAAGUACAAGGUAUGUCCAACCAACCAUCACACAACAUUGAAUUAAAUUCAUCCAAACUUAAAUUUUGCAAAAUUCAAGCUUGGGGGAGUACUUUACAUCUUUUGCCAUGUUGCUACGUUGGUUGUCCUUACCUUUGAGACAUGCUCAAUUUGUUAAAUACUAAUUACACUACUUCAUCUCCACUUAAGUAGAUCUCUAUAAAUGCUCUCAUGCUACCUUUAUUUGCUUUAGUAUAUGUCUAGGUUUGGAGUAGUUUCAUUUAUCUCUUAAAUCAAGCAUGGUGCUUAGUUCAGGAAAUGAUGAUCUUACUUCCGAAGGAUUUUUAAAUUAAGCAUGGUGCUUAGGUUAAAAUGCCCUCCUAAAUCAAAUUAGACAUGGUGUCUAGGUUGAUUUUUGAGCCGAUAGUAUGCUAUAGUAGAUAUUGGAUAUUUUGUUGGACUAACCCCUCCAGGAAUACUUUCAAUAUCAAUUUGGAAAGUCCUGAGAUAAACUCACAUCAGAGAUGAAGAGAGAGACACAUGAAAUGUAACAAUUUGCACAAGAAGGACAUAGCUCAUAAAGAAAUGAUCCAUGGAAGGAGACAAAGUACAUAAACAAGAUACACAGCCGCUAAGAAAGGAAAACUUCCACAAGGUGAUACUGUACCAUCACUCUUCAAGUAUGGUAACAUCUUAAGGUACUUGACUAUCACUUUUAUAUGCUUCUCCUUGGUUCCGGCGUUCAUAUGAAUAAAAGAGACAAACAUGUAUGAUUUAUAACUCCAAAUUAACCAACCCAACUGAUUCAACAUGUUUAGUCCUUCCACCUUUGUGAUCCCACACUCCUAAUCAUAUGAGCUAAAAUGUUGCACAUUCAAUCUAUGGGAAGAUAUAAAGGAAAAGACAUAUACAUAGAUAGAUUAUCUUUCCAUAAGGUUGAGCGAUCUGAUCUGACAAAUGUUUUAAAUGCUACACUCAUGAUCUUAUUAUCCAUCAAAUUUGUCUUGCUCACUAUGCUUAAUGUUAGAGAAGAACAAAUACACUUUUGGUUAUGUUGGUGUUUUCCACAAACAGGAAAACUUUCAAUAUCAACCUGGGAAGUCCUGAGAUACAAACUCACAUUGGGGAUAAAGGAGACACAUGAAGUUUAACAAUUUGCACAAGAAGGACAUAACUCAUUCAUCAUAAAGAGAUGAUCCAUGGAGGGUGCCACAAACACGAUGCACAACCGCUACGAAUGGGAAGCUUCCACAAGGUGAGAUGGUACCAUCACUCUUCAAUUAAGGUAACAUCUUAAGGUACUUGACUAUCACUUUUAUAAGUUUCUCCUUGGUUCUGGCGUUCACAUAAAAUAAAGAGACAAACAUGUAUGAUUUAUAACUCCAAAUUAACCAACUCAAUUAAUUCAACAUGUUUAGUCCUUUAAUCUUUGUUCUUACGUGAUCCCACACUCCUAAUCAUAUAAGCUAAUAUGUUGCAAAUUCAAUCUUUGGAAGAUAUAAGCAAAACAUAAAUAUAGAUAGAUUAUCUUUCCAUUAGGUCAAGCAAUCUGAUCUGACAAAUGUUUCAAAUACUACAUUCACGAUCCAUCAACUUUGUCUUGCUCACUAUGCUUAAGGAUUAGAGAAGAACAAAUACACUUUUGGUUCUGUUGGUGUUUUCCACCAACAGGGCCCAUGCACUUGAUCUCUGCCUUGUCUCUAUGAACAGGUACACUUCAAGCAAAACAUGGAGGAGUUUUACAACUCCCAGACUCCACCAAGUGAAGGACCUGGAUCUAUGAGCACAAACACACUGAGCAGGGUAUUGCCAACACCGCACUUCGAACUACUGUGCAAUCGAAGAACGUGGGUGACUCCAUUUCAAGAGGUGCAAAUGUCAAGGUCCACACCUAAUCAAAUAAUGCAACUAAAGGAUGAAGAGAGUGAGAAGUCUUGACCAGAAUACUUAAAACAUUGGAUCCUUGUCGGAGGAGGUCAAGAUCAUCGACUCAAGUCACCUUUCUUGAUCAAGAAGGACGACCCUGGUGUUCCAAGCAUUGAGUGCACAAUCAACAGAUACUCUUUUUAGAAGACACUCUACGACACCGGAUCUGACGACAACAUAAUGGCCGCAGUCACUUAUCAGCUCCUGCAUGGAACCAUGCCCCUACAACCAAUAUAUAUUCAGCUCCAGAUGAUUUUCAGAACAUUGACAUGGGAGAAGACGAGUACGAUCCACCCAUCAUCCUUGGAAGACCAUUCCUCAACACUAUCAAAGUUAUCAUCUACAUUGGAACCGGAGAAGUCCACAUGCACUUCCCCUCUGAGAAGGUACGCCGCUAUUUUACUGACCCUAACUAUUUAGUUGAAGACUCUAAGCAGGUUAGGACAAGAAGAAGACAACCCAACCGCAACCAGAGGAGGCAAAUCAUCAAGGACAGAUGGGUAGACUACGAAGGAGAAGUGAUAAGGUCUGAAGACAUACAGCUUGAACAGAACUGUCCUGAGGAGACUGUAGCACCAAGUUAGGUGUGGAGAGAGAAGAUAGUUAUACACGAAGAAGAGGCGCCACCGGAAUCACCGACUACGCCACCUAGCGAAUCCCAGGACGACUGAAAACACAAGGAGUCCCGUUCGGAGGACUUAAAAACACCGAACGCCUUGCCAAGAGGUAAACCUGGUAGUUAUCCUUUUUCUUUCAAUUAUUCAAUUAUAGUUUGCUUAGUUAAUCAGGUUCAUGCUAUCUUGAAAAGAAAAUAAAAAUGUUAAAAAAAAUAGUAAGCCCCAUGUGAGUAUGCUCAUGGCAUAAAACCCAUAAGUAAAUUCACUGUGAUGGCAUAAAAAUAAAAUAAAUAAGUUUUCAUCUUACAAUAAAAAUAUAAAAAUAAUAAGUGCAUGAUCCUGCUAAAUAAGUAACAUUUAUUGAGGAGGCUCAACAUGAUAAAGGCUAGAUAUUUAUGCUAACACUUAACCAGUUCCACAAAGCUUUGUUGUCUAUUUGAGCUCCACAGAAUUCAAGGAUCAAAGAAGACUAGCAGACGGAGGACAUCCUAAUCGCUGUCAGGGUGCUGCCGACAUUCAAAUACACCUACAUCACCUCCUAGCUACAUAAGAAGAAAUUACGUCAAAAUCCAGCUUGGGGGAGAGCACCCCCAUUUAUCCAGCUAAGUGUUUGUACUCGCGUUUAUACUUUACUCAAAUAAUAAAAGAUGCAUAAUCAUGAAAAUCCAAAUAAAGAUUUUGUGCUUUUAUAUAUAUAUAUAUAUAUAUAUAUAUAUAUAUAUAUAUAUAUAUAUAUAUAUAUAUAUCUUUGCUUAGUUUGCUAAAUAAAUAAAUAAAUAAAAUUUGCUAUGAACCCUCAUGAUAAGCUCUCUCAUGGAAAUGAUGAAUAGUUGCUCUGCCAUGACUAGUUCUUAAAAUUGAAAUCUCUCUCAAGUUUAGGCAUGACUGUUAUGAAGUAAGAUUUGCUCUAAACCUGAACUUGUGGGAAGAGUACUUGAUCUAAAGUUUAAGUCAUUAACGGAUAUGAUAUGGGAAGGUUGAGCUACUGUUUAUCUGUUCCUAGAGAAGCUAGAAUUCUGGAGAAUUUUAUCUUUGAAAAAUCUUUAAAAUAUCACAUGAUGAGUUCCUGUAUGAUGAGAGUUUAAAUUCCUACCACAACCAUAUAUACAUGCUUGCUAGACUUUGAGCCACACAUCUACUAUUUACUGCUUAUGAGCAUUGAGUGUGGUCAAGCUGUGUAGACCCUUAGGAGCUUGUCAUGUGGUUAAAAUCAAGAUUCACUUGCACGUUCACUCAUACAUGCUACUUCCACUCCGGAAGUACCAUCCACAUAUAUCCACUCAUUUCCAUCUCCAAAACCACCCAAAAGUAUUCUACUCCUAUCCGGGAGAGAAUAGCCAAAAAUAGUUUCCUAUCCCUGUUAUUCCCUGUGAAAUAAAUGCUCCAGUUAUUUUGGUUACUACCACUUGCUACAUUCUUUCAGGAGAUGAGUGCUCUAAAAAAAAGAGAAGAAAAAAAAUAAUAUACGAGGAAAUAAAAAGGGGCAAGUGCCCGGAACCUCGAAGAAAAAAAAGUGAGACGAGAGGUAAAAAUGGACAAGUGUCCGACAGUAGAAUUAGGGGUACAAGAUACCCACCUGAGAGGAAAGAAAAAGAAAAUAUAGAGCAUCUCAUUCUCCCUAAAAAGCUUCAAAGUGCAAGAAAGGUAUGUAUCCCCUCAAAAGAGCAAAAGUAGAAUUAGACUUUCACCAUCAUUAUCACCAUCAUCACCAUACACCAUUCAUUCGCCACACAUGCAUAUCUUGAUUUGACUUAUUGACUUGUUUCUCUGGAUCCAUGGUUUGAAUAUGCAAUAAAUGUCUUGUAAGUAUGUAUUAGCUGUCUCCCACCUAUGAGUUCCAGAUAUCAGAACCUUAUUAGAGUAGGGUGAGAGAGAAGGCAAUAUCACUAUGCCUCAUACCAAAAAUACCACAUACUUUGAGAGAAGGCAUAUACCAUUACUGCCUUGGUAAGGAUCCAUAAAUACCACAAAAGAGAGAUUUGAGAGAGUCAUAUAAGGAAUCUCUGAGUUUUAUUUGAAAAUCUGCAAAAACCCCAGAGCUAUAGCUGAUCAAGAAUAAGAGACAUGACGCUUGACUUGACCGUUCUAUCUUUUAACUGCUCAAGACACAAGUGACGGUUACAAGACCCAUGGUGAAAGGUAAAAUGAGUAAGUUUUAAGCCUUAAUAGUUU